rnacentral:rRNA from 1 species
UAGUCAUAUGCUUGUCUCAAAGAUUAAGCCAUGCAUGUCUAAGCACAAGCCCAAGAAUGGUAAAGCCGCGAAUGGCUCAUUACAACAGCCAUAGUUUACUGGAUCUUACUUUCCUACUUGGAUAACUGUGGUAAUUCUAGAGCUAAUACACGCAUUAAAGCUCUGACCUCGCGGGAGGAGCGCAUUUAUUAGAACAAAACCAAUCGGACCUUCGGGUCCGCCCAUUGGUGAAUCUGAAUAACUUUGCCGAUCGCACGGUCUCGCACCGGCGACGUAUCUUUCAAAUGUCUGCCUUAUCAACUUUAGAUGGUAGUUUACACGCCUACAUGGUUGUAACGGGUAACGGAGAAUAAGGGUUCGACUCCGGAGAGGGAGCCUGAGAAAUGGCUACCACAUCCAAGGAAGGCAGCAGGCACGCAAAUUACCCACUCCCGGCACGGGGAGGUAGUGACGAAAAAUAACGAGGCGGUUCUCUACGAGGCCCGCCAUCGGAAUGGGUACAAUUUAAAUCCUUUAACGAGGAUCUAUU